GUCCUCACCAGAACCCAGCUGUGCUAGCACCCUGAACUCAGGCUUUCAGUCUCCAGAACUAUCCUCAGAGCUUUAUAGUCUUUCAGUUGGGAAAUAUGAAACACUGAAAAUAGAAAACAAAAUCUGGAAAUCUUCUCCUGCAGCCAUGAAAAACAUGCCUUUCACCUUCAGCCAUGAUUGCAAGGCUUCCCCAGCCACGUGGAACUAAAAACUACCUCUUCCUAUGUGGAUAAUUAACAAAGCUGAUGACAUUGGGAAGCAACCCAAGAUUGCAAGUUUACAACUCUUCUGGAUGUGCACUGGUUAAUGCAUGAAAUUCAGCAAUAGCAGACUUUGUUCUUUUGAUAGGUCCAGAAGAUCACCACAUCAAGGAAUAUUUGGAGAUGUUCCAAUUUCUACCAAAGCAAUGCUGUUAUGUCUGCAGUAGACAGUUUGUGUGGAGGUCCAGGGGCCCAGCCAGGAUGGAGCUGAUGAUUGCAUAGACUGGCCUAAAAUUAAUUUUAAGAAAGCAUACUCAAGAAAAUAGACUAUUAUUACAUGGAUAAAAAAAUUAGAAUAAAGAAUGUAAACAUAUGUUACAAAAGUGAAUUCUUGAAAUGGAAGACAAACUUGGCCUUGUUUAGCUUCACCAUUAGCUCUGCCUUCCACCUCCAUUAAUAGUAUAUGUCUCAAUCCUUAUCUAUACUCCAAAUUUGAAUAGUAUAAUUUAAUUUGUUAAAACUUA